UACGUAGGUCCCGAGCGUUGUCCGGAUUUAUUGGGCGUAAAGCGAGCACAGGUGGUUUAUUAAGUCUGGUGUAAAAGGCAGUGGCUCAACCAUUGUAUGCAUUGGAAACUGGUAGACUUGAGUGCAGGAGAGGAGAGUGGAAUUCCAUGUGUAGCGGUGAAAUGCGUAGAUAUAUGGAGGAGCACCGGUGGCGAAAGCGGCUCUCUGGCCUGUAACUGACACUGAGGCUCGAAAGCGUGGGGAGCAAACAGG
rnacentral:rRNA from 1 species